rnacentral:rRNA from 1 species
UCAAGUGAAGAAGCGCAUACGGUGGAUGCCUUGGCAGUCAGAGGCGAUGAAAGACGUGGUAGCCUGCGAAAAGCUUCGGGGAGUCGGCAAACAGACUUUGAUCCGGAGAUGUCUGAAUGGGGGAACCCAGCCAUCAUAAGAUGGUUAUCUUGUACUGAAUACAUAGGUGCAAGAGGCGAACCAGGGGAACUGAAACAUCUAAGUACCCUGAGGAAAAGAAAUCAACCGAGAUUCCCUUAGUAGUGGCGAGCGAACGGGGACUAGCCCUUAAGUGGCUUUGAGAUUAGCGGAACGCUCUGGAAAGUGCGGCCAUAGUGGGUGAUAGCCCUGUACGCGAAAAUCUCUUGGUCAUGAAAUCGAGUAGGACGGAGCACGAGAAACUUUGUCUGAAUAUGGGGGGACCAUCCUCCAAGGCUAAAUACUACUGACUGACCGAUAGUGAACUAGUACCGUGAGGGAAAGGCGAAAAGAACCCCGGAGAGGGGAGUGAAAUAGAUCCUGAAACCGUAUGCGUACAAGCAGUGGGAGCCCACUUUGUUGGGUGACUGCGUACCUUUUGUAUAAUGGGUCAGCGACUUAUUUUCAGUGGCGAGCUUAACCGAAUAGGGGAGGCGUAGCGAAAGCGAGUCUUAAUAGGGCGUCUAGUCGCUGGGAAUAGACCCGAAACCGGGCGAUCUAUCCAUGGGCAGGUUGAAGGUUAGGUAACACUGACUGGAGGACCGAACCGACUACCGUUGAAAAGUUAGCGGAUGACCUGUGGAUCGGAGUGAAAGGCUAAUCAAGCUCGGAGAUAGCUGGUUCUCCUCGAAAGCUAUUUAGGUAGCGCCUCAUGUAUCACUGUAGGGGGUAGAGCACUGUUUCGGCUAGGGGGUCAUCCCGACUUACCAAACCGAUGCAAACUCCGAAUACCUACAAGUGCCGAGCAUGGGAGACACACGGCGGGUGCUAACGUCCGUCGUGAAAAGGGAAACAACCCAGACCGUCAGCUAAGGUCCCAAAGUUAUGGUUAAGUGGGAAACGAUGUGGGAAGGCUUAGACAGCUAGGAGGUUGGCUUAGAAGCAGCCACCCUUUAAAGAAAGCGUAAUAGCUCACUAGUCGAGUCGGCCUGCGCGGAAGAUGUAACGGGGCUCAAACCAUACACCGAAGCUACGGGUAUCACGUAAGUGAUGCGGUAGAGGAGCGUUCUGUAAGCCUGUGAAGGUGAGUUGAGAAGCUUGCUGGAGGUAUCAGAAGUGCGAAUGCUGACAUGAGUAACGACAAUGGGUGUGAAAAACACCCACGCCGAAAGACCAAGGUUUCCUGCGCAACGUUAAUCGACGCAGGGUUAGUCGGUCCCUAAGGCGAGGCUGAAAAGCGUAGUCGAUGGAAAACAGGUUAAUAUUCCUGUACUUCUGGUUAUUGCGAUGGAGGGACGGAGAAGGCUAGGCCAGCUUGGCGUUGGUUGUCCAAGUUUAAGGUGGUAGGCUGAGAUCUUAGGUAAAUCCGGGAUCUUAAGGCCGAGAGCUGAUGACGAGUUACCCUUUGGGUGACGAAGUGGUUGAUGCCAUGCUUCCAAGAAAAGCUUCUAAGCUUCAGGUAACCAGGAACCGUACCCCAAACCGACACAGGUGGUUGGGUAGAGAAUACCAAGGCGCUUGAGAGAACUCGGGUGAAGGAACUAGGCAAAAUGGCACCGUAACUUCGGGAGAAGGUGCGCCGGUGAGGGUGAAGGACUUGCUCCGUAAGCUCAUGCCGGUCGAAGAUACCAGGCCGCUGCGACUGUUUAUUAAAAACACAGCACUCUGCAAACACGAAAGUGGACGUAUAGGGUGUGACGCCUGCCCGGUGCCGGAAGGUUAAUUGAUGGGGUUAGCUAACGCGAAGCUCUUGAUCGAAGCCCCGGUAAACGGCGGCCGUAACUAUAACGGUCCUAAGGUAGCGAAAUUCCUUGUCGGGUAAGUUCCGACCUGCACGAAUGGCGUAACGAUGGCGGCGCUGUCUCCACCCGAGACUCAGUGAAAUUGAAAUCGCUGUGAAGAUGCAGUGUAUCCGCGGCUAGACGGAAAGACCCCGUGAACCUUUACUAUAGCUUUGCACUGGACUUUGAAUUUGCUUGUGUAGGAUAGGUGGGAGGCUUUGAAGCGUGGACGCCAGUUCGCGUGGAGCCAUCCUUGAAAUACCACCCUGGCAACUUUGAGGUUCUAACUCAGGUCCGUUAUCCGGAUCGAGGACAGUGUAUGGUGGGUAGUUUGACUGGGGCGGUCUCCUCCUAAAGAGUAACGGAGGAGUACGAAGGUGCGCUCAGACCGGUCGGAAAUCGGUCGUAGAGUAUAAAGGCAAAAGCGCGCUUGACUGCGAGACAGACACGUCGAGCAGGUACGAAAGUAGGUCUUAGUGAUCCGGUGGUUCUGUAUGGAAGGGCCAUCGCUCAACGGAUAAAAGGUACUCCGGGGAUAACAGGCUGAUACCGCCCAAGAGUUCAUAUCGACGGCGGUGUUUGGCACCUCGAUGUCGGCUCAUCACAUCCUGGGGCUGAAGCCGGUCCCAAGGGUAUGGCUGUUCGCCAUUUAAAGUGGUACGCGAGCUGGGUUUAGAACGUCGUGAGACAGUUCGGUCCCUAUCUG